rnacentral:tRNA from 1 species
UUCCCUACAGUCCACUGGUUAGGACUCUGUGCUUUCACUGCUGAGGGCACAGGUUCAAUCCCUGGUUGGGGAA